CCGGUUAACAGGGCUCUUGGAUAGUGAAACGCUAGGCAAAGUGAAAGAGCCAGCAGUGCUGGGGUUGGCAGGGACACUGUUUGCUGUGGCCAGACUCCAGAAUUAUACUUGGGAAUGUAGCAGGGACAGCAAGAAACACCGAAGAGCCCUGUGCCACCGGAGAAUCCUGUUCUUCAGGCUGGUCCUUCCUCCUGGACAGGGAGCUCACCAUGCAGCUACUCUCUGAUGGUGACAAGCACUGUUCUCAACUCCAUCAGAAGUCUUCCCUGUGUGCCCCACAAGGACAUCUGGAGUGCCGGUGAUGAGACGUAAGAUAGAAAAGUAAGAAAGUGGCCUGUUUGUAAGAGUUGAGCCAGGAACACCAUGUGUAACACAGAUGCAGUGACCUGGCAAAACUGCUACCAGAGUGUGGCAUCUACCCAUGCUUCCUCAAAGACUGAAAAGACUAAUUUCUCCUCAUACAUAUCAGCUGGCCUCACGAGGACACAGAAGGCUCUGGACCCAUCAUCUGGAUGAGGCUGCUGUGGAAAGGGGGAACAUUCACCCUGGGUAGAUGGAUCUUCUUCUUUGUCCCAACACAUUUACAUGAACUGGACAGAACUGGAGGGUUUGUAACAUUUAUCCUGGGUCCAAGAAACAGAACACAGUCUCUGAACCAAUAGAAACCACCAGAAAAUAUUACUAACCUAAAAAUACAUUCAUAUUCAGAGACACCCUUGCUUCACCAUAUUUCAGCUGGUUAGUAAAAUAAGAAUCAUCUUUAAACAAUCCCUACCACAUUUGAGUCUAACAUUCAGAAGACAUAUUUAAGGGACAUGUGAACAGUGAAGCUGAACACCCAGACACUGCUCAACACAAUAUGCACCUGGAGUCUGAACAGUUAGAACAAGCUGGAUAAUAAGCCACACUUUGCCCCCUGUCUCCAAAACUCCCUAAAAUUAAAGUACAUUUCAAAACCAA